CAGUAGCCACGGGAAAACGAAGGGGGCUAGCGUUGUUCGGAAUUACUGGGCGUAAAGCGCACGUAGGCGGACAUUUAAGUCAGGGGUGAAAUUCCGGGGCUCAACCCCGGAACUGCCUUUGAUACUGGGUGUCUUGAGUGUGGAAGAGGUCAGUGGAAUUGCGAGUGUAGAGGUGAAAUUCGUAGAUAUUCGCAGGAACACCAGUGGCGAAGGCGGCUGACUGGUCCACAACUGACGCUGAGGUGCGAAAGCAUGGGGAGCAAACAGGAUUAGAUACCCGCGUAGUCCCUGUCUCUUAUAC
rnacentral:rRNA from 1 species